UCCCCACACCAUCCUGCCAUCUUUCAACCUCACCAGGCUCAUGUACGCCAAGCCUGUUCCUGCCUCAGGGCCUUUGUACGUGCUGUUCCCUCUGCAGAAUGUCCUCCCGUGGUCUUUGCCUGACUGGCUCCUUGCUAUCACCUCUUCAGAGAAGCCCUCCAUCAUCACCCUGCCUCAAGUAGCUUCCCAGCCACUUGCCUUUACAGUACUCAGUUUUAUUCUUUGUCACUCCAUUCCCCUUCCGGCAUAGGUGCUCCAUUAAAUCAGGAACCUUGUUGCUUCUGGUAUCUGGGGUGUCCCACCGCUACCCCCAUGUGAGUGCCUGGCACAUAUAGAUACUUGAUACCUGCUUGCUGAAUAAAUGAAUAAGUGCAACUUGACUGGAUGAUGAGAGGCACAGCUGAGUCCGGAGCAGACUGAGCCACCUAAGAGGGGAGGAACCGCUGCAGAGAAACCGUGUUAAGCCUUUUUGAAGUUCCAGAGGGAGAACAAGAGAGCGGAGGCUCCUGGUGGCUGGUGACAGGUGCUGAUUUGUUCUGGGGAAAGAGCACAGAAAAGUGCCUGGAGAGGAGGCGGGGCCAAAAUGGGAUGUAGGCGAUGGGAAGGACCCUCAAGACACAGUCCUGGGCUCCCAGGCAGGACCAACCCCCAAACCUGUCCCCCCAGGAGCCUGCAGAGCCACUGCCCUGACAGGGGACACCUCACUUCCUCUCCUUGCAGCUGCUCUUGGCUGGGAGAGCAGAGAACAGGGGACAGGAGAGAAGCCCCGAGAGUACUGAAGCUGAGGCUGGGGCGGUCUUCACUUCCCUCUUUCCUCGGCCCUUUUCCUGUUCUCUUGUCUUGUCUCUCUUUCUCUACUUUCCUUCUCCCUAGCCCAGUCUCUCACCGCUCUUCAGCCUCUGGGCCUUUCCUUCUUCCUCUCUUGCCCUCAUUCUUCCUUCUCUGUCCCUCUUGUCUUCUCUUUUACCUCUUCUCUUCUUCCCUCCUUCCUACAGCUAUGCCCUCUUCCCUCCUUUCUCUUGUCCCCAACCAGGGCAUUAGAAAUGCAUUCCAGUUACACUGAUCUGAUCACUGCAUAUUGUAUGCAUGCAUCAAAAUAUCACAUGUACCCCAGAAAUAUGUAAAUUACUGCAUAUCAAUAAAAAGAAAUGUAGCUUCUUUGCCUCACAUACAGAAA
rnacentral:lncRNA from 1 species